AUGGAUCACAAGAAACUGUGGACAAUUCUGAAAGAGAUGGGAAUACCAGACCACCUGACCUGCCUCUUGAGAAAUCUGUAUGCAGGUCAGGAAGCAAUAGUUAGAACUGGACACGGAACAACAGACUGGUUCCAAAUAGGAAAAGGAGUACGUCAAGGCUGUAUAUUGUCACCCUGCUUAUUUAACUUCUAUGCAGAGUACAUCAUGAGAAACGCUGGGCUGGAAGAAGCACAAGCUGGAAUCAAGACUGCCGGGAGAAAUAUCAUUCACCUCAGAUAUGCAGAUGACACCACCCUUAUGGCAGAAAGUGAAGUGGAACUCAAAAGCCUCUUGAUGAAAGUGAAAGUGGAGAGUGAAAAAGUUGGCUUAAAGCUCAGCAUUCAGAAAAUUAAGAUCAUGGCAUCUUGUCCCAUCACUUCAUGGGAAAUAGAUGGGGAAACAGUGGAAACAGUGUCAGACUUUAUUUUGGGGGGCUCCAAAAUCACUGCAGAUGGUGAUUGCAGCCACGAAAUUAAAAGAUGCUUAUUCCUUGGAAGAAAAAUUAUGACCAACCUAGACAGCAUAUUGAAAAGCAGAGACAUUACUUUGCCAACAAAGGUCCAUCUAGUCAAGGGUAUGGUUUUACCUGUGGUCAUGUAUGGAUGUGAGAGUUGGACUGUGAAGAAAGCAGAGCGGCGAAGAAUUGAUGCUUUUGAACUGUGGUGUUGGAGAAGACUCCUGAGAGUCUCUUGGACUGCAAGGAGAUCCAAACAGCCCUUUCUGAAGGAGAUCAGCCCUGGGAUUUCUUUGGAAGAAAUGAUGCUAAAGCUGAAACUCCAGUACUUUGGCCACUUCAUGCGAAUUGUUGAUUCAUUGAAAAAGACUCUGAUACUGGGAGGGACUGGGGGCAGGAGGAGAAGGGGGCGACAGAGGAUGAGAUGGUUGGAUGGCAUCACUGACUUGAUGGACGUGAGUCUGAGUGAACUCCAGGAGUUGGUGAUGGACAGGGAGGCGUGGCAUGCUGCGAUUCAUGGGGUCGCGAAGAGUCGGACACGACCGAGUGACUGA
rnacentral:lncRNA from 1 species